GUAGCUGACCUUUAAGAAAAUUGACAGACAAAUUAAGAUGAGUGAGUUUGGAGAGGUUUCCUAGUGAAGGAGGUACCUGACCAUCAAGAAAAUUGACAGACAAAUCAAGAUGAGUGAGCUUGGAGAGAUUUCCUAGUGAAGGAGGUAGAUGACCUUNCAAGAUUAACGCGCGCUGCUAUAGCUAAGUUCCUGGCAGGUGUUUCGGAAAAGUGCAAAAUGAGUAUUCAAGAACCGUGACAGAACACAGCUGAAUGUAUAGUGAGUUUCGGGUGUUCGAAAUUGGUUUUCAUCCAAAAUAAACUUAACAAAUUCAAAUGUGCGCAACUGCUUACAAUCAUUUGAGUGCUUUUGGUUUUUCUCAGCCAAUCCUUUCGGUCAAUAAGAUUUGUUGUUAAAAUCAUUACCUUAAUAUCUUAAAACAAAUAUACAACUUAACUCUAAGCUCUUUGCACUUUUUAAUCUUCCAAAAUAUACACAAAAUAUUAGGCGAAAAAAACAAAAAAGUUCAAUUUAAUUAAUUUUUUUUGGUAAAGCCCUCUUAUUGGGGCCCAAAAAAGUCCAAAAUAUAGACAAAAUAACAAUAACAACAGUAUAAAGCCCUCUUACAAAUAAUUUGGGCCUGUUACGUUGUUUAAAUGAAUUAAAUUAGAAAAUAGAAACCAUACAUAGAAAAUAAUUUUGGCAAACAUGUAGUGUAAAAAUUAUUAGCACUAAUCUAAUUUUGAAUCUCUACAUCAUUGGACUUAUCAACUGUUCAUCAUAGUUAAAUUAUUUCAAUGUUAACAUUAGCAUUUGGUAAAAAUUAAACUAUAAUACAAAUCAAGGAAAGGUAGCAGGUGCAACUUAGAUUUCUUCUAUCCUGUUUGAACACUCAUGCUUUCUGAUAAGUCUUGAAGGAGACAUGAUUUAUUUUUUUCCCAUCCAGUUUGUGGUAUUAUUGGUUAUUGGGGGCCCCAAUGAAGGAAGCAUCUUCCUCUUGACGUGGUCUAGACUUUGUGCAUUAGUUUCCUUUAGUGUGCGAGUUUUUCUUCGUCAAUGAGUCAACUUCAGAGUUUCUUGCUAACGAGUACUCUUACAAUAUUGACUAACAAAUCUACAAGUUUUUAGCUUUGUCCCUUCGUCCCAAAAUAACUUAGUUAUUUGCGCAAAAAUUUUUUGUUUCAAAAUAAUAGACACAUUUUAUUUUUCAUAACUUUAAUUAAUAUUACUUUCAUUACUCUUAAUUAAAUAUAUUCUACUUUACAUUUAUAAUAAUGAAAAAUGCAUCAAUACUGGACAAGAGACUCAAAAUCGGACAUUUUUUUCUCUCUCUCUUUCAAUUAUACAAUUUUUUUUAUUAUGCGUAAAACGAACAAAAGAGUUGGGUAUGAUGAGACCAAGGGAGUGAUUAAUUACACAAUUUUUUGAUACAAAACUUACUUACAAUUAUUUUAGUACUUAACCAAUACCCAAAGGAGACUUAUUAACCUUCUCCAACGUAUAAAACCAUUUUCUUUGCAAGUUAUUUUUACUUUUGAGGGAAACUAAUGUAUUCCUAAGAAAAACCGUAAUUAUGGGACCAAAUUAGUGCUUCAGAAGAAAAAAAAACUUAUUUUCGGUCUUUAAGGAAAAUGAAAGAAGAUAAAGUAGAUCUGGUUUUUUUUUUUCUUCGUGAUAUCAUUGUCUGAAUGUGACGAUGUGUUGUUUGCCGUUUUAUGCAGCGAUGUUAAUUUAUCUUCUUGUUGUUGUGGUGUUUAUUUGUUUUAUAUUGAAAGAUUAAAUAUUCAAUUGAUUUUUAGAUGAACCGGUCAACUGAAACAAACAAAUAUCAUCAAGUUUGUUUGUAUUUGUUUCACUUAUAAAUAAAUAAAUAAAAAAGCUAAAACCAACUCAACACUCUCAAUUCUCAUAUCUUAGGGGGUGUGUUUGUUUCAAGUUAUAAUUGUUGAUUCCCGGGAAUAAAAUGAUAGGAAUGUAUAUGCCUAUGUUUGUUACAAGUUUACUAAAUUUUAUUCCCAGGUAUAAAAUGUUCCUGGGAAUAGAAAAAAAUUUCCCAAGGAAAAGGGUGGGAAUAAAGUUCUCAUGGAGAUGGAAAUAAAUUCAUAAAUAGUUUACCUAUUAUAAUCCCUAUUUUUAUGGUUCCUAGGAAUAUUAUAAAGCUAACCAAACAUAUUUUUCCUAAAUUCCUUGGAAUAAAAUUUUCAUCUUUAUAUUCCAAUUAAUGUUAUUCCUAGAAAUAAAUUUGGUAAACUUGAAACAAACACACCAUUGAGUCCUCUCAUCUCUAUUGUUGGAGAUUCAAUGCUGUGUCCUCUCUCUCAUAAUUUAAUGUUGUGCAGUACAAUGACACACUCAUAAUACUUCAGAUUAGAAUAUAUGUUAAAUUGAAUGUUUAGUCCCUUAAAUAUAUUUUUUGUUCAAUUAUAGUCCCAUAAUUACUAAUCCUUAAAUUAUGGUCCCUGAUUUUUGCACUUGUCAUUCAACAUGGUCCUCUCCUUCAAUUUUUUUGUCUUUCUUCAUCUUCUUAGUCGUCUUUAUACAUCGAGACUAAAUAUGUAAUUUAAAAUUUAUUUUAUCUUUCUUCAUUUUGUUCCGUCGUAUUCAUCAUCAUCUUCAUUACACAAUCUCAAAAGGAGAAAAAAAAAAAUCAUCCCUUCAACUCAACUGUAAAACCCAUAAAUAUAAAAAAUCAUCUCUCACUUCUUCAUCUUCAAACCUAGAAUACAGCUUAAUUUUUACAAGAGUAGUAACACCCUUGUUAAAAAGAGUGUUACUUAAACCAACCACAAAGUGUGACUUACAAUUUUAAUAUUUCAAAUUCCUAGUUAAAAAAUAACUGUAUCUUGCAUCCACAAACUCUUGAAGAAAUAAUCAAACUCAAAGGACCAAACUUCCUCCUUACCUUCCUUGUGUUCCUAGGGAAAUGAGUCAUGUGACCAUGUCAGAGUCUGAAACUUGAGCUGGGGAAAUGCAUUUCUGCUCUUCAACUGAUUCAUUGGAUUUCUCCUCAAGCUGAAUCGUAANAAUCUAUUUAAGAAUUUAUAUUUUGUAGUGUGACAUGCCGUUUAAUGUGGAACUCUGAUUUUAUAAUUUAUAAUUAAAUUGAUUUUGGGAAACGGGGUGUUACAAAUUACCUGGUGUUGAACCCAAUAUAGAAAAAGCCUCUGAAGUAGCUUCUGAUGGAGUUACUUUAGAAAGCUCACAACAACAAGCACCAAACUCACAAAUGGCCAAGAAAAGUCAAUCUGUUCCUGAACAACAUGUUCCUGAACACAUCAUUGAUGAUCAACCUAAGUCUCACAAUUCUCUUAACCAAAUCAAUGAUACUGACUUUAUGAUCACAUCAGAUUCUUCUGAUGGUAGGGAUGAGCAAACUAACUCCUAGGUCAAACCUGGAUUUCUUAGUAAGUCAACAAGCUCAUAUUCUACUGUGGUCUUAAAUUUUGUUCCUGAUCAACCUUCUGAGACCACAACUCAUACACCUAACCCUAAACCUUCUACCACUAACCUUCUUUCAUUUUCAAACUUAGCUAUUCAAACUUGUGCUCCUGCCAAAACCACAAAUGUCCUUUCUCCACCCACCCUGUUUCUAGAUUCUACUAUACUAGCAAAUAUGUGUGAGAACAUAUUUAAGGACCUGAACAAGUUAGUUCAAGUAAGGAACAAUCUGGUUCAUGAAGAUAACUAUGAAAAGCAAUGGAGGAGGUUGAAAGAAAGAGUGGAUUUUGUCUUGACUGGACUUCAAAGAUCAUCUCUUGAUGCUCAAGACACUUCUCAGAACAAACUCCAAGACUGGCUAAGAGGGAUUGUUUGUAACUUGCAAGAAGUUGAAGUCAGAAGAACUCUUGUGAAGACACCUUUAUUCCUUAUGGUAUUCACUCUAUGGAGCUGGAUCUAGCUUGGUUAUCUAAAAUAAAUGUCAAGAAAGCCUCACCAUAUUUGUCUUUGUUGCAAAGGAAUGCUAAACUAGAGAGUGAAAACAAGCAGCUGAAGAAAGAGCUUCUAGAUAAGAAACUAUUGAUGCUUGUAUACAAGACAUCUACAGAAGCAAAGCUUGAAGAAGCAAGGAUUAGAGAAGAGAAUUUGUUAAGAAGCCAUAAUGAUCUCAAGGAAAAAAUGAGGAAGUAAUCUGAGAACACAAAUAGGAAAUUCCAAGAAAUGAUGGAAAUGUUCCAAAAACAAGCCAAGCCUUAGUUGCACACAUUGUCUUUUAGCUUGUUUAGUUUUUACUCUUGAGUUUCUAUGUUUAUAUGCUUCUGAACCAUUUUUAGCUUCUGAAAUGUUUAUGUGUUUCUGAACUAAUAUUUUGCUUCUGAACUAAUUUUUUGCGCUUCUGAACUCAAUGAAUUUCUCACUAUGUUUUUCUCAUCUCUUACUUUUUGUCUUUAUAUUUUUCUUUAACUUUUGUUGAUGACAAAAGGGGGGUGGAUGUAUAGUAUUUAUGAUAGGCUCUGAGCCCCAUUAAUUUAAUUCUAAUCAAGUUAAAUUAAUAGAACAUUCUUCUUAUCUCUUAGUCUAUUUAAGGUGAGAUUAAUUCUGAUUGUUAUUUCGUUUUUAAAUGAUGAAUUUAAGCCUCGUUUGGACUGACUUAUUUUAAGCUUAUUGGAGCUUAUCUACUAACAUAAGCUCUUUCAAAUACGUUUGGGUAAAUAAUAAAAAUAGUUUAUACCAAUUUUAUAAGCCGCUUAUACCAUAUUUUCAUAAGCUUAUACGGAGCUUAUGGCCAAAUAUAUGUCACCCACUUCGAUUCUUGCUGUUCUCUUUUUUUCAAAGUCUAUAUUUUUUAUUUUAUUUAUUAUAUGUCUUUUGCGGUGGUGAUCAGUAUUUUACUUAUCUUUAUUAACACAAGUAUCUUCUUCUUCUUUUUCGCCAAAGCAUCUUUCUUUAUCUUUAUGUUAAUUUACUUUAAUUUAAUUUAUAUACAUUGUUUUUUUUUUUAUAAAUAUUAAACUCUUUGUAAAAAAAAACAUAUAUUGUUUUUUUUUUUUAACAGAUCAAAAUAAAAUAUAUGACUACUGGUAUUUCUGUGUAAAUUACAACAAUCGUUCAACAUAAUGGAAAAAAAAAAUGUUAAACUCAUUCAAGUUCUACAACCAUUUUCUCAAAAUAAUUUACACAGAAAUACCAAAACUUUUGAGAAAUAUCGUGUCAAUAUAUAUAUAUAUAUAUGAGUAGGGAUAUAUUGACUCCAAGAAUAAGUCUAAAAAGUUACUCCACAUCCUCACCCUCCAUUUUAUCUAAAUUUAAUGAACUAAAUUUAUGUCUUAUUAUAAUAAUCAUCAUGUGAUCUCAUCUACCUAAUCAUUUUCACAAUAUUAAUUAUGAUUUCCUUCUUUAGAUUUAAUGAAUAUUAACAAUCCUGUGAUGAGCUUUCUUCUUUUACGUUACUAUACUAUGCUGUUACCACCAUUCAUAAAUCAUGUCUUGUCUAAAUUUUUUUUUUUUUAAAAAGACCAUAUCUUAAAAUUUUGAAUAUUUUCACAUAUGGCCUAUAGAACUCAUUCAAGUUCUACAAACAUAUUUCUAAUAGUUUCGUAUAUAUAUAAUAAAAUUAUGAAUAUCUUUCAAAAAAAUAAAAAAUAAUUAUGAAUAUAUUUUAAUACUGUUCUUAUAAAGCUUUUUAGUCGUGGUUUGUUUCUUUAAUUUUUAAAUUAAAACUAUUUUAAUAUUUUAUAAUUGUUUAUGUAGUAACACAUCCAAACAUAAAGAGCUUAUUGAGUAUAAGAGCUUAUGAUGUAAGCUCUAGUCUAUAAGUUUUAAUGCUAUAAGCAUCUCUAUAAGCUAUUUAUCCAAACGGGGCCUUAAUUAACAUGGAUAGAACUCAGGGGGAGCUUACAAACCUCAUACCCUUAAAGUUAACUUGUUAAUUAAAUUAACAACAAUUGAACAUUUUUAAAUACUAAGUGUUUGUCACCAUCAAAAAUGGGGAGAUUGUUGGAACAAAAUGUGUUUAACAUUACCCUUUAAGAGUUUUGAUGAUAACAAGGUAUUAAAAAUUAUCAAUUGGAUACGCGAAUAUUUGUUCAAGUGUGCAGGACCAAAUACAAGGUUAAGUAUAUUUUGUUGGUUCUGGAAGAACAAAUUAAGAGCAAUGGAAUCAACAAAAAGAAAGCUUGAAGCGUAUGAAGAAAAGUGAUUAUGAAGUCAAGUUCUCAUGAAAUGAUGACGUCAUCAGAAGCAAGUUGAUCAGAAGCACUUCAUCAGAAGCUACAUCCCCAGAAGCUGUCUUUCAUCAGGAGCAGAAGAUCAUCAGAAGAUGAAAGAGUUAAUGCUUCAAAGACUGUUCAAAGGAUUUAAUCACGGCUAGCAUUGCAAGAAGACAAGAAGAGUGAAGCAACGACUAUUUUGAAAGAAUUUGAAGGCAUUAGAUGCUUAUUUUUUGAAGAGCGUUGAAAAACUACAAUUGUACGAAGUGUACAACCACUAUCUCCACUACUCUGUUUUGUGUCUGUAAUAAGACAAGAAUAACAUCUAUGUUUGCAACGAUGUUCCUCCAGACUUGGAAUGGAUUUGAAAUUGAUCCUUCAUAGGACAAUUAACAAAUCAUACAAAAGAUCAUUGGUGAUUUAAUCAAACUUCAAACGACUCUAUUUUGAUGUGUUGACAAUUCACAACGUCUCUUUCACACCUCUAUAUAAAGGGGUGAAGACUUAGAGAAUGGCAAGGACUCUACAACAAUUUGAAAGCGCCAAAACUCUGCUGAAAUUGUUCUGCAAGCAAAGUUCACUUAAAAUUUCUUAACAAAGUUAAUAUCUUCUUCAUUUUUUACAAUUUAAUAAAGCUUUGAGGCCAUUGCCAUUUUGUUUUCAUCUUUCAUUCAUAAUGAUUUGAGUCUAUAGAAGUGUCUGCUAUUUUUACUGAUUUGAAUUCAUUGUAGUUGAAAGCUUGAUAUUCUUCAACAUUUUUCUUUGGCCUCUACUGUGGUUUUGUAUCCGAUUCUGCAGUUGAAGCUUGAUAUUAUAGAAUAUUUUGAUAUUUCUAUCCAGCGUAGCUAAGUUUUCGAAUGUCAUACAGUUGAAGAGAGCUUGAAGAUGCAAUGCAGCUAAAGGAAGAGAUGUGUUCAGUGAAAAACCUUCCAGUGAUGAACUUUUGGCUGCCAUUUGACCUUUUUAACUGACAAUGAAUAUAGAAUAUCAUAAUGACAAUGUGGUGAGCUAUCUUUAUUUGACCUUUUUAUGAUAUUCUAUGUUUUGGCUGCCAUAUUCUCCUUAUCAGUAUCUGUUGGUAGAAAGAUUGACUUUCAAAUCCAGAGUCGUGUGAUUAAUCUCUGGACUACUCCGGACCAUUUCAAUCCAAAUGAAGUUGGCAGUAUGCAUAUGAUCUUGCUUGAUGAUCAGGUAAUUUAUGAGCUUUUUCAGUUGAUAAUAGCCAUUAUAGAUCGUUCCACGUAUGGGUUUUCUUAACAAAGAAUAAUCAUAUAGGUUUCUGUUUUAAUGCAAAAAUAGGAGCAUAAAGAAUGAAAGAAUGAGUAAAUAUUUCUGUUUUAAUAGCAUGCACUGUGGUUUUAAGUAUAAUAAUGAAAGGCCUGUAAAAAUGCGGUUUCUAUCAUCUAAAAUUAUCAGCUGAAAAGAAGCAAGCAAGAAAGAACAUAAGAAAUUAUUUGUCUAUUCGGCGUGGCAGUAUGUUCUUAUAGUUUCUUCAAUGUAUCUUGUAAUUUUGAUGUUUUUUUUUCUUUCUGAAACUUCUCAUUUUAUUUAUGCAGAACUAGGUGUAAGCAACACCAUAGAACACCAAAAAGAACGAAUACAAACGAGCCGUAGAAACGUGGAAACAUCUUGACCACCUAACUGUUGUAACAACUAAAAUGUCAUAUCAGAUGGCCCAGAAAAUGAUACCAAACAGCUCUAAAAGAUUUGAAUUAACUGUUAUGCUUCAUUUUAAUUUUGGAGGCUCUUGAAGGAGGUGAUUCAAGCAACAAGGGAGAGGCUGUUGCAGCAAUUGAUACUCGAGCAAGCAAACCGCUGGGAAAAAGGCCAGUUCAGAGUGUUGAAGGGCUCACUACAACAUUUUCGGUCUAAAACCGCUGGAUGCGAUCACCAUUGAGUUUGGAGAAGGCUCUGCUACUAAAGAGCCGAAGAUGGUUUGCAUCAAGACUGAAGUAUAGUGCCCUUUUAUCUAAGACGAAUGAUGGUUGCCGGGAUCCCAUGAGGCAUCCAAGAUUAACGCUGCUAUAGCUAAGUUCCUGGCAGGUGUUUCGGAAAAGUGCAAAAUGAGUAUUCAAGAACCGUGACAGAACACAGCUGAAUUGUAGAAUUUGAACAAACUACAAUUUUCUGUGAUCCGCGGUUGGCAAGACUUUAUUUCUGAUAAUAUUCUCACUUCAUUUCUAAAACUCUAAUCAAAAGCAGAAUCCAUAAGUCUUGAGGGAGACAUGAUUUAUUUUUUUCCCAUCCAGUUUGUGGUAUUAUUGGUUAUUGGGUGCCCCAAUGAAGGAAGCAUCUUCCUCUUGACGCGGUCUAGACUUUGUGCAUUACUUUUCCUUUAGUGUGCGAGUUUUUCUUCGUCAAUGAGUCAACUUCAGAGUUUCUUGCUAACGAGUACUCUUACAAUAUUGACUAACAAAUCUACUAAUAGAAACUUAGUUUAGGUAAUACAAGUUUUUAGCUUUGUCCCUUCGUCCCAAAAUAACUUAGUUAUUUGGGCAAAAAAAUUUGUCUCAAAAUAAUAGACACAUUUCAUUUUUCAAUAAUUUUAAUUAAUAUUACUUUAAUUACUCUUAAUUAAAUAUAUUCUACUUUGCAUUUAUAAUAAUGAAAAAUGUAUCAAUACUGGACAAGAUACUCAAAAUCGGACAUUUUUCUCGCUGUCUUUUUCACCUAUACAAUUUUUCUUAUUAUGUGUAAAAUGAACAAAAGACUUAUGUGUUAUGAGACCAAGGGAGUGAUUAAUUACACAAUUUUUUGAUACAAAACAUACUUACAAUUAUUUUAGUACUUAACCAAUACCCAAAGGAGACUUAUUAACCUUCUCCAACGUAUAAAACACAAUUUUCUUUGCAAGUUAUUUUUACUUUUGAGGGAAACUAAUUUAUUCCUAAGAAAAACCGUAGUGCUUCAGAAGAAAUAAAACUUAUUUUCGGUCUUUAAGGAAAAUAAAAGAAGAUAAAGUAGAUAAUAUGAGACAAAAUAAAUGGAAAUGAAGGUAACGCCGACUCUAGUUUUCUCUCUCUAGGUCCUCUCUUCCAUUUUCUUUAUUGAGGAGGUGGUUGUGGGUCAAAUUUUUAACCGAAAUCAGUAUUCUUCAUCUUUUUCUCUCUAUUUCAAUUUAAAUAAUUGAUUUUAAAUAGAUCUGGUUUUUUUUCUUCGUGAUAUCAUCGUCUCAAUGUGACGAUGUGUUGUUCGCCGUCUUGUGCGGCGAUGUUAAUUUCUCUUCUUGUUGUGGUGUUUAUUUGUUUUAUAUUGAAAGAUUAAAUAUUCAAUUGAUUUUUAGAUGAACCGGUCAAAUGAAACAAACAAAUAUCAUCAAGUUUGUUUGUAUUUGUUUCACUUAUAAAUAAAUAAAAAGCUAAAACCAACUCAACACAAUCAAUUUUCAUACCUUAAUGUUGUUGAGUCCUCUCAUCUCUAUUGUUGGAGAUUCAAUGUCGUGUCCUCUCUCUCAUAAUUUAAUGUUGUGCAGUACAAUAACACACUCAUAAUACUUCAGAUUAGAAUAUAUGUUAAAUUGAAUGUUUAGUCCCUUAAAUAUAUUUUUUGUUCAAUUUUAGUCCCAUAAUUACUAAUCCUUACAUUAUGGUCCCUGAUUUUUGCACUUGUCAUUCAACAUGGUCCUCUCCAUCAAUUUUUUGUCUUUCUUCAUCAUUAUCUUCAUUACACAAUCUCAAAAGGAGAAAAAAAAAAUCAUCCGUUCAACACAACUGUAAAACCCAUAAAUAUGAAAAAUCAUCUCUCACUUCUCCAUCUUCAAACCCAGAAUACAACUUAAUUUUUACAAGAGUAGUAACACCCUUGUUAAAGAGAGUGUUACUUAAACCAACCACAAAGUGUGACUUACAAUUUUCAUAUUUCAAAUUUCUAGUUAAAAAAUAACUGUAUCUUGCAUCCACAAACUCUUGAAAAAAUAAUCAAACUUAAAGGACCAAACUUCCUCCUUACCUUCCUUGUGUUCCUAGGGAAAUGAGUCUUGGUUGUUGAACAAGGUUUAAUAGAAUGAGCAUUAGGAACAGAAUUCAUGUGACCAUGUCAGAGUCUGAAACUUGAGCUGGGGAAAUGCAUUUCUGCUCUUCAACUGAUUCAUUGGAUUUCUCCUCAAGCUGAAUCGUAACAUUACAAGAAAAUGACAACAUUACAAAUUUACAAUGUCUGCAAUAAUCCUAUAACAGUAAAUGGACAAAGUUUUCAAUUCUAACAUAUAACCUUAGUAGAUGGAAGAAUAGCGGUGUUAGCCAAUAUUUUUAAAGGCUAUCAUUUAAUACGGUCAAAGAAGGUCAACCCAGAAGAAACUAGGGAUUUGAUCUUACGUCUCUAUCGAAAUUAUGUUACUUGAGAUGAUCGAAGGUGCGUGUCUCAAUUCGAUGGACGGAAGGAUUUGAAAGGCGGUUACCUUUUGGAUAAGGACAGAAGAUAACGGAUAUGUUCGAUAUACAUUUGAAAUUCAAAUCAAAUGGCUAAGAUUAGUUAGUUUUCUGCAGUUAUAGUUUUAAAUCAAAUCUAGGCAGUUAUUUCUAUUUGUAUAAAUAGUAGUUUCUCUUAAGAAAAAAGGGUCACAAUUCAAUCAUACAAAAACUUACACUCAAAUUAUCCGCAUGGAAGAAAGAAACGAGUCACAAGUUGCAAUGUAUGAAUAUCUGUACCAAUCUACAUUCAAUCAAUGCAAUUUAAGUUCAUUUUCUUAAAUGUCUUUGCAAUUUACUUGUUUCUUUUGAGCAAUUCAUUCACUUUUAUUUAUACCGGUCUUCGAUUGGGUUCAACUGGAUUGAAUUCGAUUGCUUUUUUUCUUAUUUCGUUUUAUCAAGUUCUUCAAAGAACAAAUAUCAAAAUUUCUAGAAGAUAAAUAGACACAAUAUGUCCUUAAGAUUUACUGGUUGAUCUUGCAAGUAAACAUUUUUAAACCAGCGAUUGUUUACCAAAUUUCAGUGUAAACAAGCGGCUAUAGCAUUGCGGAAUUUGAACAAAUUGUUAUUUUUCCACGGUACUCUAUUUAGUAGUGCUGUCAACUAAAUUAUAUUUAGCUCUUGUGAAUUUUGAACAACUUUCUUCAAGGAUAGAUUGCAUAAUAGAAACUAAACAAAACCUAUAGCAUGAUGCAGGCAGUGGAAACUUAUGCAAUAAAAAUGGAAAACAUGAAUGCCAAAAAUGGAAAACACGAAUGCCAUACAAAUUGUUGAAAUAACUUUCAAAGAAUAAAGCUUACAUUUUCUCCCUGAACCUCAAAUUGGGUCCUAUUGGCAGAUUCAGGAGUUAUCCCUUCACGAGUUGAUAAUGUAUUGUCAGUCAUAAGCUGAUCUUCGACAUAUAACUCAGAUUUAUGCUGGGAUGAAGCAUUAGCAAAACUACCUGGAACCGGAAUUUCUUUACCGGCAAAAGAAGCAGAAUUAUGAACAGAACGAUUAAAUCCAUUAGAUUGCCCAACUAUGUUCGAUUGAGUUGCAGAACAGAACUUUCCACGAUUUUCAUAUUUCACGGUAUCAAUCCGAGUUUUCAAAUUCUCAACUUGCGACAACAAUGCUUCAACAUUUUCAAUAAUGUUAACGAAGGAUUUAUCAUUAUCUUUAUGAUGAUCUACAGAUGUCUACAUAUCGUUUAACUUGAUCUCCCCAACAUUAUCAGCAUUACCUUUUCAUACGUUCUGUACUCUUGUCCACAUAUCGUUUAGCAUUACCUCUUUCAUGUACUCUUUUUCCUCCUUUGCGGGUUUUGUACUCCUUGUGCUAGCCUUGCUUAAUAUAUUUGCUGAUUCAAAAAAAGGAUUAAAAAUUUAGAAUCUCAUCGAAUGUAGGAACAUAUAUUAUGGCUACUUACCCACGACAUCAUCAUGAAAACCUUCUACGGGACCAUCAUGAGCUCGGUUUUCACUCUCUGGACAGCAGAAGAGAAAAAAAAGAUUACUAUCAAAGCAAAAUACAUUGGCAAAAGAAAAUACUACAAUAAACAAAGUAAUUCCAUACCAUAGUACGAGAAAAAACAAUGGUUAGACAUAAAUGAUGAUAAAUCAAAUUCUUCAGCUCUUCUCCUGUUCUUUCUUCACAUUACUUUAGUCCUUUGAAUUCCCUCAGAUCUAGGUACUGACUUGACACCAAAAUUGUCUACUGCAAACUUCAAAAAAUCAAACUGUUUUUGUUGAUCGAUAGCCACAAUCUCUUCUAUGUAUUUCUGUGCUUGAGAGUUGAGUUUCUUUAUUUUCAACUCGAUCCAUUUAGAGCGCCACAUUAUAGGAAAGAUGUACCUCCUUCCGGAUUAUCUAAGACCCUUUCUCCUAAGAACCGAAGGGUUAAGACCACAAAAACAUGCAAGCCAUAUCCCACUAAUUGGGGCCGACUACAUUGAUCAAAUUAAGCCUUAAUGUUCGAUCAUAAACCAUAUUUUAAUCCAACUCAUUAAUCUAAUGAUUUUUCUAAAUAGUUUCUCUUAUAGUUUUUUAGGUCUACCUCUGCCUCUAGCAAUCUGACUAUCUUCCAUCUUAUCUACUAUAGCAUCUACAAGUUUUCUCUCAACAAGUCCAAACAACCUAAUUCUAGUUUUCCUCUCCUUACUAUCAUCUAAAAGUCUUCUCUCUACAAAAAAAAAAUUUCCCUCUUAAAAAUUAAAAAUCAGACUUGAUAUCAAUUUGGUGAUAUUUUUGGCCUUCUGCCAUCGACAACACUGAUUUUAUUGAAAAAAAACGUUAUUUUUUGUGAUCCACAAUUGACAACAGUGGUCUAUAUUGCACACUUGUACUUGCUAGUUUAAAACAAUAGUAGUAUACUCAACUUUAAGCAUUCACUGCUCUUGAUGUUGUCUGUACUUGACUUCUCAAUAUGGUAUAUCGGUGUUGUCAAAUAGCAAUGUUCCGAAAUUUGAACAAAUUGCUAUUGUUUCGGGAUAUGCUAUUUAGUUCUAAGUGUGGCCAAAUGUCAACUAUAACGGCGACAUACCACUAUAGCGUUGUGGAAUUUAAAGGUUUAAAAAAAUUGGUAUUAUUCUGCAAUACACUUUUUGUACCAACUGUUGUCAAAUUGUGGCUAUAGCACUGCAGUGUAAUUUGGACUCGCUAGUUUCAUGCUCCUUUAUGCAGUAGCAAUUCACUCACCAUUGAACAUUUUAUGUGUUUAAUGCCAAUCAUUCUAUGCCGAAUUUUUAAUGGAACGCUGGAGUUUGAAUACGAGUGAAAUUUUGGGAGUUUUGAGUCCCAUAGCUUUCUGGAGUGAAAUAUUCGAACAAUGGAAAGAAGCUAAUGAGGAAGCAAGAGAAAAAAUGUUUAGAGACAUAUUGGCUAAAAGAACAGCAGAAUAAGAAUGCCAUUCCUGAUAAUAAUCACCAAGUACAUCAAGAAUUUUUUUUGUUGAAUUUGUAAACCUUGAGAUAUUGAUUGAAUCAAUUGCAAUACCUUUAUCUUUUAAUUCAGUUAUCAUAAUAAUUGAAACAGAAGUAAUUCAAUUUUAUACAAAAACAGAAAUGUGAAUACAUAUAUACUUAUGUUUGAUGUAUCACAACAACAAAGUUUUACAGCAUUUUUCAACAACUUUUGGGAAAAAAAAGGCAAUGUCUUUAUUAUUAUAAUAACACACUCAACUUAAUUCAUUCUGAAGUUUUCUUUCAAGGGUUCGCAAUACAAAACAAUGCUUUAAGUUCUUCACUCAUUAGUUGCUGCACUGAAAUUUCACUGAAAGGAAUACUUAAUCGUGGAAGCUCGGUGACAAAACUUUGCGACACACAUUUCAUUGUUGGUCGAGAACGAGGAUUGACAUUUAAGCAUGCAAAUGCUACCACGGCAGCAUGAAUUAUGUCACGUAUAACUAUGUCAUUAUUUGGAAGUGGAAGACGGUGGUCUAAUACUUGACAUAGUUUGAGACUUUGUGUCGAUGUUGAUUGAAGUGAUGACAAUAAAUCCCCAGGGUGCCUUCCAACUAAAGUUUCAAGUGCCACUACACCAAAACUAUAUACAUCACACUUUUCAUUAACAGCCAUAGUAUAGGCAAGUUCUGCAUUGAUCAAAUCACUAUGAAUAUUUAAAAGAAUCCAAAGAAAAUAAUUUAAAAUUACUACUUAGCAUGAAAAACUAAUGAACAUGUAUAUUAUUUUUGUGGAUUAUGAAUAUACAUGUUGUGCUUCAUAUAAAAAUGAACGGAAAAAAAAAAAAAACAUAACAAGAAAAGAAAAAAUAGCAAUGGUUAAUUUACCUGGAGCUAUAUAUCCAAUAGUUCCAGCAACUAUAGUUCGAUUGGAUGAAUCAUAUUGAAGGAGCCGAGCUAUGCCGAAGUCACAAACACUGGCCUGCCACUCAGAGUUUAGCAAGAUAUUGCUAGUAGAUACAUCUCGAUGCACUAUUGGAGCAGUGCAAUCAUGAUGAAGAUAUGAAAAAGCAAAUGCAACUCCUUUAAUAGUGUUAACCCUUUUCCUCCACUUGAAUUCCACGACUUUUACAUCAUCAUACAAGACAGAGAACAAGCUUCCUUUCUCCAUGUAUUGAUAGAUCAAAAACAUGAUUCUUUUGUGCAAGCAGAAUCCAUAAAGCUUCACAAUAUGUCGGUGCUUUAUUUCUGAUAAUAUUCUCACUUCAUUUCUGAAACUAUCAUCAAAAGAUGGAACCUCUGCUUCAUAGCGGUGAAGUUUCUUUAAGGCAACAACCUUGCCACUUGGUAAUUGUGCCUUGUAAACACUUCCAUAUGCUCCUGUUCCAAUGCAAUAUCUCAUGUCAAAGUCUUCUGUUGCUUUGAUGAUGUCAUCAUAUGCUAUCUUCCCAUCAAAAUUCCAUAUACAAAACAUAUCUCCAUUCUUUGUUUUUGUUGAGUUUCCUUGCGAUUUCUUAGUAGAAUUAUGAUGACGAUACAAGCAUAUGAGAAGUGAGAAGACUAGGAUUAGAGCAAUAAGGAUCGGAAGAACAAUGAUGACAAUGUGCUUUAAUUUUUUAUUUUUCUUGUGUGUUGGCCAAGGAUGGAAUUGGUGAAAAGACAUUACAGAGAGAUUACAAAGAGAUUGGGGAAUUGCUCCAUUGAGAUUAUUAUUUCCCUUAUUCUUUGUAUAAACCUGAAGACAAUUUGGAAUGGGACCCUCCAAACAAUUGUAUGAAAUGUCCACAUAAUAGACAUUACAGAGAGAUUGGGGAAUUGUUCCAGUGAGAUUAUUAUUGCUUAAAUUAAGUUCGUGAAAACCUCGAAUAUGAGAAGGGAUUUGACCGCUAAUGAGGUUGUGACUGAGGUCCAUGAAAAAUAAAUUAUCAUUAAAUGGAAAAAAUUUGGAAGGAAGCGUACCUAUGAGUAAAUUAUAUGAGAUGUCAAGGUAAUCUAAUUGUGUAAGAUUUGUAAGAAAAUUAGGCAAGUUUCCAUUGAGUCUAUUGUGAGAUAGAUCUAAUGUGAUGAUAUUUCUGAGGAACCCCAACUCAAGAGGAAUGGAACCUUGAAUGUUGUUGUGAGAGAUGUUUAGUAGUUGUAACUGGUUGAGAUUUCCUACUGGACCUUUAAGAUAAUUGCUAGACAAAUCAAGGUCAGUGAGUCUAUUGUGAGAUAGAUCAAAUGUAAUGAUAUUUUUCAGGAACACCAACUCAAAAGGAAUGAAACCUUGAACAUGGUUGUGAGAGAUGUUUAGAUGUUGUAACUGUUUGAGAUUUCCCAAUGAAGAAGGUAUCUCACCUUUGAAUAUAUUGUUAGAUAGACCUAGUGUAGAAAGAUUUUUGAGGAAGCCCAACUCAAAAGGAAUAUGACCUUCAAUGUAGUUGUCAGAGAUGUCUAGGUUCUCUAAUUGUUUUAGAUUUCCUAGUGAAGAAGGUAUCUGACCUUUGAAUCUAUUGUAAGAUAGAUCUAAGAAAGUGAGAUUUUUUAGCAACCACAAUUCAGAAGGUAGCUGACCUUUAAGAAAAUUGGCAGACAAAUCAAGAUGAGUGAGUUUGGAGAGAUUUCCUAGUGAAGGAGGUAGCUGACCUUUAAGAAAAUUGGCAGACAAAUCAAGAUGAGUGAGUUUGGAGAGAUUUGCUAGUGAAGGAGGUAGCUGACCUUUAAGAAUAUUGGCAGACAAAUCAAGAUGAGUGAGUUUGGAGAGGUUUCCUAGUGAAUGAGGUAGCUGACCUUCAAGAUUAUUGUAAGACAUGUUAAGAUGAGUGAGCUUGGAGAGAUUUCCUAGUGAAGAAGGUAUCUCACCUUUGAAUCUAUUGUUAAAUAGAUCUAAGAAAGUGAGAUUUUUUAGCAACCACAAUUCAGGAGGUAGCUGACCUUCAAGAAAAUUGGCAGACAAAUCAAGAUGAGUGAGUUUAGAGAGAUGACCAAUUUCUUUUGAGAUAGUCCCUUCUAGUGUAAUUUUUCUUAGAACAAGGCUUUCUAGAUUUUUGAAACAAGCCAAGUUGAGAGUAGACAAGUUGCGUGUUUUAAAAUCAUACUCCCAGGCAGCGUAUGUAGAAUCAUCAGAGUCUAUCUUAAUUGCUAUUAUGCUUCCAGCAUCGUUGCAAAAUAUACCAUGCCCAUGACAACGAUCAGAGAUAUUGAAGUUUGCAUCAGAAGUGUUCCACCAUCCACUAUUUAAUAUAGCAUUUGCUUCCAUUUGAAGUUGAUGAGAUGUCAUUGUGGCAGAUUGAGUUCCCUCAACCAAACCACAAAUUAUAAGAAGAAAGACCAUCCACAUUUUUGGACCAAAGAAAUUUGAAACUAAAUAUUUUAUCAAGUUCAUAUUUUUUCUAUGAGAUGUGAUGAAUGACCAUCAAAAACCUUUAUGAUGUUGUGUUAACCCACUUAUUUCUUUUCUUUUUGAGCGCUGGACCUUUUAUUUCUAUUUUCUAAGGACCUUUUUUUUUUAAAGUACCUUUAAAAAAGAUCCAUGUGUUUCUCACUUAUUUUACUUUUUUGUUAGAUUAUAAUCAUGGGAACUUUUGAUUUAUUGCUUCUUCCGGUAGGCCAAACAAAAGGUGGAUUCAAAUCGACUCUAUAACAUCAAUCUGUUAUCAUUAAAAAAAAAAUCAGUUUGAAUCCUGACCGGAGAAAUUAUUAAGAAGACUUGCUUGUUGGACCAGUUUAUGAUAAUAGAACAUUAUGACGUAAUUUGAUCCAAGUAGCCGACCCCACUUAGUGGGAUAAGACUUGGUUGUCGUUAUUGUUGUUAAAUCCUGGCUGGAACAAUCCUUGGCUAGACAUUACCUACCUUCUAGCUGAACUCCGGAUUAUCUAAGACCCUUUCUCCUAAGAACCGAAGGGUUAAGACCACAAAAACAUGCAAGCCAUAUCCCACUAAUUGGGGUCGACUACAUUGAUCAAAUUAAGCCUUAAUGUUCAAUCAUAAACCAUAUUUUAAUCCAACUCAUUAAUCUAAUGAUUUUUCUAAAUAGUUUCUCUUAUAGUUUUUUAGGUCUACCUCUGCCUCUAGCAAUCUGACUAUCUUCCAUCUUAUCUACUCUCCUUACUAUAGCAUCUACAAGUUUUCUCUCAACAAGUCCAAACAACCUAAUUCUAGUUUUCCUCUCCUUACUGUCAUCUAAAAGUCUUCUCUCUACACAAAAAACAUUUCUCUCUUAAAAAUUAAAAAUCAGACUUGAUAUCAAUUUGGUGAUAUUUUUGGCCUUCUGCCAUCGACAACACCGAUUUUAUUGAAAAAAAACGUUAUUUUUUGUGAUCCACAAUUGACAACAGUGGUCUAUAUUGCACACUUGUACUUGCUAGUUUAAAACAAUAGUAGUAUACUCAACUUUAAGCAUUCACUGCUCUUGAUGUUGUCUGUACUUGACUUCUCAGUAUGGUAUAUCGGUGUUGUCAAAUAGCAAUGUUCCCAAAUUUGAACAAAUUGCUAUAGUUUCGGGAUAUGCUAUUUAGUUCUAAGUGUGGCCAAAUGUCAACUAUAACGGCGACAUACCACUAUAGCGUUGUGGAAUUUAAAGGUUUAAAUAAAUUGGUAUUAUUCUGCAAUACACUUUUUGUACCAACUGUUGUCAAAUUGUGGCUAUAGCACUGUAGUGUAAUUUGGACUCGCUAGUUUCAUGCUCCUUUAUGCAGUAGCAAUUCACUCACCUUUGAACAUUUUAUGUGUUUAAUGCCAAUCAUUCUAUGCCGAAUUUUUAAUGGAACACUGGAGUUUGAAUACGAGUGAAAUUUUGGGAGUUUUGAGUCCCAUAGCUUUCUGGAGUGAAAUAUUCGAACAAUGGAAAGAAGCUAAUGAGGAAGCAAGAGAAAAAAUGUUUAGAGACAUAUUGGCUAAAAGAACAGCAGAAUAAGAAUGCCAUUCCUGAUAUCCUUAGCCACUUGCUCUCAUUGCACUCAAGCUAAUGAGGAAGCUAACUAGUAAGGCAAUGCAUCUGAUAAUAAUCACCAAGUACAUCAAGAAUUUUUUUUGUUGAAUUUGUAAACCUUGAGAUAUUGAUUGAAUCAAUUGCAAUACCUUUAUCUUUUAAUUCAGUUAUCAUAAUAAUUGAAACAGAAGUAAUUCAAUUUUAUACAAAAACAGAAAUGUGAAUACAUAUAUACUUAUGUUUGAUGUAUCACAACAACAAAGUUUUACAGCAUUUUUCAACAACUUUUGGGAAAAAAAAGGCAAUGUCUUUAUUAUUAUAAUAACACACUCAACUUAAUUCAUUCUGAAGUUUUCUUUCAAGGGUUCGCAAUACAAAACAAUGCUUUAAGUUCUUCACUCAUUAGUUGCUGCACUGAAAUUUCACUGAAAGGAAUACUUAAUCGUGGAAGCUCGGUGACAAAACUUUGCGACACACAUUUCAUUGUUGGUCGAGAACGAGGAUUGACAUUUAAGCAUGCAAAUGCUACCACGGCAGCAUGAAUUAUGUCACGUAUAACUAUGUCAUUAUUUGGAAGUGGAAGACGGUGGUCUAAUACUUGACAUAGUUUGAGACUUUGUGUCGAUGUUGAUUGAAGUGAUGACAAUAAAUCCCCAGGGUGCCUUCCAACUAAAGUUUCAAGUGCCACUACACCAAAACUAUAUACAUCACACUUUUCAUUAACAGCCAUAGUAUAGGCAAGUUCUGCAUUGAUCAAAUCACUAUGAAUAUUUAAAAGAAUCCAAAGAAAAUAAUUUAAAAUUACUACUUAGCAUGAAAAACUAAUGAACAUGUAUAUUAUUUUUGUGGAUUAUGAAUAUACAUGUUGUGCUUCAUAUAAAAAUGAACGGAAAAAAAAAAAAAACAUAACAAGAAAAGAAAAAAUAGCAAUGGUUAAUUUACCUGGAGCUAUAUAUCCAAUAGUUCCAGCAACUAUAGUUCGAUUGGAUGAAUCAUAUUGAAGGAGCCGAGCUAUGCCGAAGUCACAAACACUGGCCUGCCACUCAGAGUUUAGCAAGAUAUUGCUAGUAGAUACAUCUCGAUGCACUAUUGGAGCAGUGCAAUCAUGAUGAAGAUAUGAAAAAGCAAAUGCAACUCCUUUAAUAGUGUUAACCCUUUUCCUCCACUUGAAUUCCACGACUUUUACAUCAUCAUACAAGACAGAGAACAAGCUUCCUUUCUCCAUGUAUUGAUAGAUCAAAAACAUGAUUCUUUUGUGCAAGCAGAAUCCAUAAAGCUUCACAAUAUGUCGGUGCUUUAUUUCUGAUAAUAUUCUCACUUCAUUUCUGAAACUAUCAUCAAAAGAUGGAACCUCUGCUUCAUAGCGGUGAAGUUUCUUUAAGGCAACAACCUUGCCACUUGGUAAUUGUGCCUUGUAAACACUUCCAUAUGCUCCUGUUCCAAUGCAAUAUCUCAUGUCAAAGUCUUCUGUUGCUUUGAUGAUGUCAUCAUAUGCUAUCUUCCCAUCAAAAUUCCAUAUACAAAACAUAUCUCCAUUCUUUGUUUUUGUUGAGUUUCCUUGCGAUUUCUUAGUAGAAUUAUGAUGACGAUACAAGCAUAUGAGAAGUGAGAAGACUAGGAUUAGAGCAAUAAGGAUCGGAAGAACAAUGAUGACAAUGUGCUUUAAUUUUUUAUUUUUCUUGUGUGUUGGCCAAGGAUGGAAUUGGUGAAAAGACAUUACAGAGAGAUUACAAAGAGAUUGGGGAAUUGCUCCAUUGAGAUUAUUAUUUCCCUUAUUCUUUGUAUAAACCUGAAGACAAUUUGGAAUGGGACCCUCCAAACAAUUGUAUGAAAUGUCCACAUAAUAGACAUUACAGAGAGAUUGGGGAAUUGUUCCAGUGAGAUUAUUAUUGCUUAAAUUAAGUUCGUGAAAACCUCGAAUAUGAGAAGGGAUUUGACCGCUAAUGAGGUUGUGACUGAGGUCCAUGAAAAAUAAAUUAUCAUUAAAUGGAAAAAAUUUGGAAGGAAGCGUACCUAUGAGUAAAUUAUAUGAGAUGUCAAGGUAAUCUAAUUGUGUAAGAUUUGUAAGAAAAUUAGGCAAGUUUCCAUUGAGUCUAUUGUGAGAUAGAUCUAAUGUGAUGAUAUUUCUGAGGAACCCCAACUCAAGAGGAAUGGAACCUUGAAUGUUGUUGUGAGAGAUGUUUAGUAGUUGUAACUGGUUGAGAUUUCCUACUGGACCUUUAAGAUAAUUGCUAGACAAAUCAAGGUCAGUGAGUCUAUUGUGAGAUAGAUCAAAUGUAAUGAUAUUUUUCAGGAACACCAACUCAAAAGGAAUGAAACCUUGAACAUGGUUGUGAGAGAUGUUUAGAUGUUGUAACUGUUUGAGAUUUCCCAAUGAAGAAGGUAUCUCACCUUUGAAUAUAUUGUUAGAUAGACCUAGUGUAGAAAGAUUUUUGAGGAAGCCCAACUCAAAAGGAAUAUGACCUUCAAUGUAGUUGUCAGAGAUGUCUAGGUUCUCUAAUUGUUUUAGAUUUCCUAGUGAAGAAGGUAUCUGACCUUUGAAUCUAUUGUAAGAUAGAUCUAAGAAAGUGAGAUUUUUUAGCAACCACAAUUCAGAAGGUAGCUGACCUUUAAGAAAAUUGGCAGACAAAUCAAGAUGAGUGAGUUUGGAGAGAUUUCCUAGUGAAGGAGGUAGCUGACCUUUAAGAAAAUUGGCAGACAAAUCAAGAUGAGUGAGUUUGGAGAGAUUUGCUAGUGAAGGAGGUAGCUGACCUUUAAGAAUAUUGGCAGACAAAUCAAGAUGAGUGAGUUUGGAG
rnacentral:lncRNA from 1 species